rnacentral:rRNA from 1 species
GGUUUUUUGGAUUUAAUGUAAAAUCGGACCUGCCCAUUGAUUAAAAGGCUGCAGUAAUUUGACUGUACAAAGGUAGCAUAAUCAUUAGCUUUUUAAUUGAAGGCUGGAAUGAAAGGUUUGACAAGGCUAGACUGUCUCUAAUAUAUAUAAUGAAUUUUUUUUUGUGUGAAAAGGCAUAAAUGAAUUAAUGGGACGAGAAGACCCUAUUAAACUUAGUUUUUAUUACUAUUGAAAAAGGUUAAGAUUUGCUGGGGUGGUAAGUAACAUAUAUUUUAUGUGAUAACUUUUUGAAUUAAGAUCCAAUAGAUUGAAAUAAAGAAAUAGUUACUAUAGGGAUAACAGCGUAAUUUUUUUUGAGAGUUCAUAUUGACAAUAAAGAUUGCGACCUCGAUGUUGGAUUAAGGAUACUAUAUAAUGAAGUAGUUUUAUAAGUGGAUUGGUGGGAUCUUUAAAUUCUU